GUAGAGGAGCGUUCUGUAAGCCUGUGAAGGUGAGUUGAGAAGCUUGCUGGAGGUAUCAGAAGUGCGAAUGCUGACAUGAGUAACGACAAUGCGAGUGAAAAACUCGCACGCCGAAAGACCAAGGGUUCCUGCGCAACGUUAAUCGACGCAGGGUGAGUCGGUCCCUAAGGCGAGGCUGAAAGGCGUAGUCGAUGGGAAACGGGUUAAUAUUCCCGUACUUCUAGUUACUGCGAUGGGGGGACGGAGAAGGCUAGGCCAGCUUGGCGUUGGUUGUCCAAGUUUAAGGUGGUAGGCUGACUGUUUAGGUAAAUCCGGACAGUUAAGGCCGAGAGCUGAUGACGAUCCUUCUUUUAGAAGGAGAAGUGGUUGAUGCCAUGCUUCCAGGAAAAGCCUCUAAGCUUCAGGUAACUAGGAACCGUACCCCAAACCGAC
rnacentral:rRNA from 1 species